rnacentral:ncRNA from 2 species
AGACGAACCUCUGGAGAGACUCUUAUGAGCACCGAAGGGGAAAGCCAAAGUUGGGUGAAACUCUCAGGUACAAGGGACAGAGGAUUUUAU